rnacentral:rRNA from 1 species
MUACGUGCCAGCAGCCGCGGUAAUACGGAAGGUCCAGGCGUUAUCCGGAUUUAUUGGGUUUAAAGGGAGCGUAGGCGGAUUGUUAAGUCAGCGGUUAAAGGGUGUGGCUCAACCAUGCAUUGCCGUUGAAACUGGCGAUCUUGAGUGCAGACAGGGAUGCCGGAAUUCGUGGUGUAGCGGUGAAAUGCUUAGAUAUCACGAAGAACUCCGAUCGCGAAGGCAGGUGUCCGGGCUGCAACUGACGCUGAGGCUCGAAAGUGUGGGUAUCAAACAGGAUUAGAUACCCUGGUAGUCCACACAGUAAACGAUGUAUACUCGCGGUUUGCGAUAGAUUGUAAGCCGCCAAGCGAAAGCAUUAAGUAUACCACCUGGGGAGUACGCCGGCAACGGUGAAACUCAAAGGAAUUGACGGGGGCCCGCACAAGCGGAGGAACAUGUGGUUUAAUUCGAUGAUACGCGAGGAACCUUACCCGGGCUUGAAC